UGGAAUUGUCUGGAAUAAGUAUAACAUUCUAGGCAAUACGUUCACCAUAAUUGUAGAUAUUCUCCCAAUCAAUGAUAAUUGUAAAUUUUCCCAUUUUGCCAAGUCUGUCGCAAUCUGUUGUUUGAGUUUAAGAUAGUUAUCCUCCUUCAAUGUACUACAUCAUGAUGUAAUAUAAAUUC